rnacentral:lncRNA from 1 species
CCAAAUCGAACUUGGGUGGAGGUUGGCCUCGUUGAUUCUCCCCAUUUCUUUUAUAGGAUGGACUCUCCUUAGGAAAGACACAUCCAAAAUCAGGUGGCAAUGCUUCACAUAAUCUUAUAGGAGGCUAGACAGAAGGCAAUCGAGAUGGAGGCCAAGCCUGGAUCCCUCAAGAGCAAGUUGUUAGAUGAAAGGAUCAAACCUAGGCGGCACUACUCAGAGCAAUUGUUAUAGAGGAGGAGUUGAGGGUUUCUUGGCUCUAGAUCACCUAGACGGUGGAGAGAUUCAUGGAGCAACUAAGCAUGGCUUUCCCUUACUGUGGUUGAGUCCUUCAUGGAGAGCUUCAACAAGGGUUAAAGCUGUGUCUGGACCUUUUCUGUGGGUUAACUUUAACUGUCUUGAUCCAACCAUAGACGCAAUGAUGAGGUCAA